rnacentral:rRNA from 1 species
GACGAACGCUGGCGGCGUGCCUAAUACAUGCAAGUUGAGCGCUGAAGGUUGGUACUUGUACCAACUGGAUGAGCAGCGAACGGGUGAGUAAUGCGUGGGGAAUCUGCCUUUGAGCGGGGGACAACAUUUGGAAACGAAUGCUAAUACCGCAUAAAAACUUUAAACACAAGUUUUAAGUUUGAAAGAUGCAAUUGCAUCACUCAAAGAUGAUCCCGCGUUGUAUUAGCUAGUUGGUGAGGUAAAGGCUCACCAAGGCGAUGAUACAUAGCCGACCUGAGAGGGUGAUCGGCCACAUUGGGACUGAGACACGGCCCAAACUCCUACGGGAGGCAGCAGUAGGGAAUCUUCGGCAAUGGACGAAAGUCUGACCGAGCAAAGCCGCGUGAGUGAAGAAGGUUUUCGGAUCGUAAAACUCUGUUGGUAGAGAAGAACGUUGGUGAGAGUGGAAAGCUCAUCAAGUGACGGUAACUACCCAGAAAGAGAUGGCUAACUACGUG